rnacentral:pre_miRNA from 1 species
AAUAAGUGCAGUUUUACACUAUUCAUGUCCAACGUUUGACUGUCCGUCUUAUUUGAAAAAUUUUUAUGAUUAGUAUUUUUAUUGUUAUUAGAUGAUAAAACAUGAAUAGUACUUUAUGUGUAACUAAUUUUUUUAAAUUUUUUCAUGAAUAAUACUGCACAAUUAAUAUGGCUGAGUUACAUGUGAGCUCUACAG